AGUCACUGCUAUCAGAGUCCGACUAAGCCAUGCGAGUACUUUGCCUCUUUGAGGUGAAGUGCGAACUGCUCAGUAAUACAUAGUCAACCUGCCCUCAGGACCCCCAUAAUCUCGGGAAACUGAGGAUAAAGGGGGAUAGGGUAGGUGUUCUGGAAAGAGCCUACCUGAAUCUUCCUGAGGAUGGGACUAUGGCCGAUUAGGUUGUUGGUGAGGUAAAGGCUCACCAAGCCGAUAAUCGGUACGGGCCAUGAGAGUGGGAGCCCGGAGAUGGACUCUGAGACAUGAGUCCAGGCCCUACGGGGCGCAGCAGGCGCGAAACCUUUGCAAUGCGCGCAAGCGCGACAGGGGGACUCUGAGUGUCUCUCCAUAUAAUGGGGAGACUUUUGCUGAGUGAAAAAAGCUCAGCGAAUAAGUGGUGGGUAAUAAACCACCAAGUCAAGGAAUAGAAUAAAAUAACUUGGCUUGUGGUUUACUAAACGGGUGGCAGCCGCCGCGGUAAUACCCGAGCCACAAGUGGUGACCGCGAUUAUUGGGUUUAAAGCAUCCGUAGCCGGUCUGGCAAGUUCCUGGUUAAAUCUCCUGCUAACCAGGAGGCUGCUAGGAAUACUGCCAGACUAGGGAUCGGGAGAGGCCAGCGGUACUCUUGGGGUAGGGGUGAAAUCCUUUGAUCCCAAGGGGACCACCAAUGGCGAAGGCAGCUGGCUAGCCCGACUCCGACGGUGAGGGAUGAAAGCUAGGGGAGCGAUCGGGAUUAGAUACCCCGGUAGUCCUAGCCGUAAACGAUGCCCGCUAGGUGUUGGUUGGUCUGUAGGGACCAAUCAGUGCCGAACCGAAAGGAUUAAACGGGCCACCUGGGGAGUACGGUCGCAAGGCUGAAACUUAAAGGAAUUGGCGGGGGAGUACAUAAGGGGUGAAGUGUGCGGUUU
rnacentral:rRNA from 1 species